rnacentral:tRNA from 1 species
AUUAAAAGAAUAUUAAAAAAGUAAAGCUUCUAACUUUAACUAAAAACGUAAAAU